CAGCGCCACGGGAAUACGAAGGGUGCAAGCGUUACUCGGAAUUACUGGGCGUAAAGCGUGCGUAGGUGGUGGUUUAAGUCCGUUGUGAAAGCCCUGGGCUCAACCUGGGAAUUGCAGUGGAUACUGGGUCACUAGAGUGUGGUAGAGGAUAGUGGAAUUUCCGGUGUAGCAGUGAAAUGCGUAGAGAUCGGAAGGAACAUCUGUGGCGAAGGCGACUAUCUGGGCCAACACUGACACUGAGGCACGAAAGCGUGGGGAGCAAACAGGAUUAGAUACCCGGGUAGUCCCUGUCUCUUAUACA
rnacentral:rRNA from 1 species